AACAAACGCUGGCGGCGUGCCUAACACAUGCAAGUCGAACGUGAAAGUUGGCUUCGGCCGACAAGUAAAGUGGCGCACGGGUGAGUAACGCGUGGAUAAUCUACCCUUCAGUUGGGAAUAACUCAUCGAAAGGUGAGCUAAUACCGAAUAACACUGCCUGACCACGGUCUGGUAGUCAAAGAUAGCCUCUGCUUGCAAGCUUUCGCUGAAAGAUGAGUCCGCGUACCAUUAGCUAGUUGGUGGGGUAAUGGCCUACCAAGGCGACGAUGGUUAGCUGGGCUGAGAGGAUGAUCAGCCACACUGGAACUGAGACACGGUCCAGACUACUACGGGAGGCAGCAGUGAGUAAUCUUGCGCAAUGGGGGAAAACCUGACGCAGCAACGCCGCGUGAGUGAGGAAGGUCUUCGGAUCGUAAAGCUCUGUCGGGUGGAAAGAAAUGUAUGGGGUUAAUAGCCUUCAUACUUGACGGUACCACCAAAGGAAGCACCGGCUAACUCCGUGCCAGCAGCCGCAGUAAGAC
rnacentral:rRNA from 1 species